rnacentral:rRNA from 1 species
AUACGUAGGUGACAAGCGUUAUCCGGAUUUACUGGGCGUAAAGGGCGUGUAGGCGGUCUUGCAAGUCAGAAGUGAAAUUCCUGAGCUCGACUCGGGCGCUGCUUCUGAAACUGCAGGACUUGAGUACAGGAGGGGAUGCCGGAAUUCCAGGUGUAGGGGUGAAAUCUGUAGAUAUCUGGAAGAACACCAAUGGCGAAGGCAGGCAUCUGGCCAUGUACUGACGCUGAGACGCGAAGGUGCGGGGAGCAAACAGGUUUAGAUACCCUGGUAGUCCGCACAGUAAACGAUGUGCACCAGGUGGCGGGGGGUCGACCCCCGGUACCGUAGCUAACGCAUUAAGUGCACCGCCUGGGGAGUAUGCUCGCAAGGUUGAAACUCAAAUGAAUUGGCGGGG